UACAGCCAUACUAUGUUGAAAUUCCAGUUCUCAUACAUUCACCAAAAUUAAGCAAAGUUGAGCCUGGUCAGUAUUGAGGUGGGUGACUGCUUGGGAAUAUCGGGUGCUGUAA